UACUGAUGAGUCAAGUUCCUGAGAAA
rnacentral:piRNA from 2 species